UACAGAGGUCUCAAGCGUUGUUCGGAUUCAUUGGGCGUAAAGGGUGCGUAGGCGGCGGGGCAAGUCAGGUGUGAAAUCCCGGAGCUCAACUCCGGAACUGCACUUGAUACUGCCUUGCUAGAGUACUGGAGAGGAGACUGGAAUUUACGGUGUAGCAGUGAAAUGCGUAGAUAUCGUAAGGAAGACCAGUGGCCGAAGGCGAGUCUCUGGACAGUUACUGACGCUGAGGCACGAAGGCCAGGGGAGCAAACGGG
rnacentral:rRNA from 1 species